AAAUAAUUUUGUUGGUAAAUCAUCGAUAAAGUCCACGAUAUUGUUUUGACUGAUCGACGAGUGAAAGUGCGCGAGUUUGUUGAGGCCACAGGCAUAUCACAUGGCACAGUGAUUUCAAUUUUGC